GCUGAGAUAGCUCAGUCGGUACAGCAUGAGACUCUUAAGCUUGGGGUCAUGGAUUGGAGCCCCACGUCGGGCA